AUUUAACGUGAAAACCAUUAACUGGAAUAAUUGAGUUUCUUUAUUUUUACAAUAAAUUCACUGAGUAAAUAAGUUGGAGCUGGAAUUCUGAGCUUUGUGUUUGGACUGUCUGGUCUGUAGCUAAAGGAAAAAGUUAGGAGAGGAAUAUUUAUUUAAAUCUAUCAGUUCAUUUGCUGGUCAGGUCUCUGGCCUAUAAACAUGCAAAAAAAUUAAUUCAUGUCAAAGUCCUUCCAGAUCCUAAUUUCUAAAGCAAUCAGGAGAGAAGCUUUUAGAAUGGCACAUCAUAUCCUAUUGGUGCCAACAUGGUUUUGUCCAUGGUUCCGACUUUCUGUGAAGGCACCAGCUUGCAAUAUGCCAUCUCAUUUCAUGUUGCAUGUGAGACAGCAAACAAAAUCCACAAACGGUGUGAACUAAUUAAUAUGCUGGCUGCUACCUUGCAUAAAUUAAUGAUUUGAUCACACGGGUUCUUCGUGGGGUUACAUCUGUGAAUAGCCUGUUUUCCACAUGUAAAUUUGUGCCUUACACCUUGAGUUGUGUACACGUGUAAACUGUCGUUAUGAUCAACUUUUCCCCCUUUUGAAAUAAGUGCAGAUAUUUAUUUAACCCUCCCUUCCCCCCACCCCCCCUCCAGCCCUCUGGAAAACUGGAGUCAAGCAGAUGGAAGAAUGCAGUGGUGAUAGUUGUCAUGCUACAGCCUGAGAACGCUGGGCAGCACCACACCCUCCAAUGCACACUGCCUUCUAGUUGUGCCAACUCGAACCACCCUUUGGCUGUGCUGCCAAGCAUGGACCCCAGUGUUGUGGGUGGGAAAUCCCCUUUCAUCCUCGAGAGCUCCCUGCUUCCCUUAGAUUAUUUCAAUACGGUGAUUAGCAAAUAAGGAUUUGCUAGCAGAAAAGGGACUAAUGUCCCAUUCCUCUUUUCUGCUGUGUCCACUGGCUAGAGAGCAGGCUGUGUGUGGUUGGGCAGACACCUGGGAGGAGUCCCCAAGCCAUGUGCAUAGCACACACAUGCAGUGCACACAAAGAAAUGACAUGGAAAUAGAUGCAGGCAGGCUGGUCCCUGCUGUGAUUAAUGAGUAACUCCAGGUACAAGUCCGACCACAAUGGAUGCUGCAAAAACGUUGACUGGGGCAAAGGAUUUUUUGUUUUAUUUUUUAUUUUGUUAUUAUUGUUUUUAGGGGAUGGGAGGUGAUGUGUGUUUUUCUCCCCUUGGUUUUCAUUUGCUCAACACAAAAGGGACUUUUGUUUACUCUAUCAUGAACAAAGGAACUGUCCACAUACUGUAAACCAUGAGCAGUGUUGUUGUUUUAAACAGUUAUACAGUAUAUUUGGUGGUCUCUUUGUCUGUUUUUAUUUCCAGUUGGAUCUUCUGGGUUUAGUUUUGUCUUUAAAAAGAAUUCAAAAAAAGACUGACAAUGACAGUUUUGAGUUGGAUAGUGAAAAAGUGGAGCCUCCAUAAUCAGUUGGUUGCCUUCAGACCUAAGUACUUAGCUGAGGGUGAGAGCCCUUUGUUCCAAAAGUCCAUUGCAGUUUUGCUGUUGUUUAGGGGUAGGUGAUGGUGGUGGUUGUUUUCACUUUUUUUUUUUUUUUGGCUUUUGUAAUGGAAUCCAUGUUCACAUCCUGUAAACUCUGUCCCCUGAAACCCUGAAGUAUUUUCUAGAAAUUGAAAUACUGUUUUCUUCCUUGAAUUUUCUCUAGAAAUGCAGAAAUUAGGAAGGCGAUGGGUCUGUAUCCCCCGACCCCUUCUUUCCCAUGCUUGACUCUCAGAGUACUGGCUGUACAGCACCCAUCAUUGACAUGAGCGGCUGUCUUGUCCAGUAUUUGUGGGCCUCACUGCCUCAGCUGUUAAGGAGACCUGUGUCAAAACUUACAUCCACAUUCCUACGCCCCCACAACCCAUCACUUCUGGUGUUAACCCUAAAAUACCCACAUGUAUUGAGCUGGUCUUCUGCAUUUAAGUAUUUCUUCCCAUUUGUUUUCCCCACUGUGUGUGGGGGGAGGGUCCAUAAACCCGAGUGUGCCUUUGCUUUCCACCCUUGCUAGACACUGGUAGAUGCAACAAAUUCAGAUUUGUAUUUGUUAUAAAGUUGUAAAAAUAUUGUGAUGUCACCAAUUUUCCUUCCAUCUCCACAUCCCCUAACAUCUGAUUCACGACUUAAUGUAUGUUGUAAAAAAGGAAAAAAAAAAAAAAAAA
ensembl:lncRNA